GACCCAAAGAGGAUCUUAGCCUCUGACACAAGAGAGCGCCACUCUGCCCUAUUCUACAGGUCUUUUUGAGUUUCGUCACUCCAGCGGUAUCUGGGACGCCCAGACGGACGUUUUCCACCCGGGCGCCCCACAUACGCUCUUCUCACAGCA